rnacentral:rRNA from 1 species
CCUACGGGCGGCUGCAGUGAGGAAUAUUGGUCAAUGGGCGGAAGCCUGAACCAGCCAAGUCGCGUGAGGGAUUAAGGCCCUAUGGGUGGUAAACCUCUUUUGUCAGGGAGCAAGGUCGUCCACGUGUGGGCGUAUGGAGAGGACCUGAAGAAAAAGCAUCGGCAAACCACGUGCCAGCAGACGCGGUAAUACGGAGGAUGCGAGCGUUAUCCGGAUUUAUUGGGUUAAACGGGUGCGUAGGCGGGAGCUUAAGUCAGCGGUAAAAUUGCGGUGCUCAAAGCCGUAGAGCCGUUGAAACUGGGGCUCUUGAGUGAGCGAGAAGUAUGCGGAAUGCGUGGUGUAGCGGUGAAAUGCAUAGAUAUCACGCAGAACCCCGAUUGCGAAGGCAGCAUACCGGCGCUCAACUGACGCUGAGGCACGAAAGUGCGGGUAUCGAACAGGAUUAGAUACCCCUGUAGUC